UGGGGAAUUUUGCACAAUGGGGGAAACCCUGAUGCAGCGACGCCGCGUGAUUUAGAAGGCCUUCGGGUUGUAAAAAUCUUUUCUAUGGGAAGAAAAUGACAGUACCAUAGGAAUAAGGACCGGCUAAUUACGUGCCAGCAGCCGCGGUAAUACGUAAGGUCCGAGCGUUGUCCGGAAUCAUUGGGCGUAAAGGGUACGUAGGCGGGUAAGCAAGUUAGAAGUGAAAUCCUAUAGCUCAACUAUAGUAAGCUUUUAAAACUGCUCAUCUUGAGGUAUGGAAGGGAAAGUGGAAUUCCUAGUGUAGCGGUGAAAUGCGCAGAUAUUAGGAGGAAUACCGGUUGCGAAGGCGACUUUCUGGCCAUAACCUGACGCUGAGGUACGAAAGCGUGGGUAGCAAACAGG
rnacentral:rRNA from 1 species